AAAACACCCCACUUCU
rnacentral:rRNA from 1 species